rnacentral:rRNA from 1 species
GACGAACGCUGGCGGCGUGCCUAAUACAUGCAAGUAGAACGCUGAAGGAGGAGCUUGCUUCUCUGGAUGAGUUGCGAACGGGUGAGUAACGCGUAGGUAACCUGCCUGGUAGCGGGGGAUAACUAUUGGAAACGAUAGCUAAUACCGCAUAAUAGUAGAUGUUGCAUGACAUUUGCUUAAAAGGUGCAAUUGCAUCACUACCAGAUGGACCUGCGUUGUAUUAGCUAGUUGGUGAGGUAACGGCUCACCAAGGCAACGAUACAUAGCCGACCGGAGAGGGUGAGCGGCCACACUGGGACUGAGACACGGCCCAGACGCAUACGGGAGGCAGCAGUAGGGAAUCUUCGGCAAUGGGCGGAAGACUGACCGAGAAACGCCGCGUGAGUGAAGAAGGUUUUCGGAUCGUAAAGAUCUGUUGUAAGAGAAGAACGAGUGUGAGAGUGGAAAGUUCACAGUGUGACGGUAUCUUACCAGAAAGGGACGGCUAACUACGUG